CUGGGACAGUGGCGCGGCUGCCCCUCUGUUGGUCUUCCAUGGUCUCUUGUGUUCUGGGGGCCUCUGGAUGUCUGGAGUUUUGAUCUCCUCCAUACCCGCUUCACACCCUGGAGGACGGGGCUGUGGCCCCCCCACACUCCCUAGCAGAUCAUUACAUGGAGAAACCUUUGGAAUGCAAGCAUGCUGAUCCACACAGGUAUGCACACAUGGGUAUUCACAGACGCGGACUAAAGCUUUCUUGGCUGCUGCCUCAAAGCACACUGUGCGCUGUCUAUCUUGCGUGCUGCACAAUAUCGUUUAUUACUUAGUAAAUACUGAUAUCUAUGACUAGCUAGUUUAUUGUGAUGGUGCUUUGUUUUCUCUAUUAUUAUGUUGCUCUUUGUUGUUUGCUGUCUCCUCUGUUUGUUUUUGUUUGUUUUUUUUUGUUUUUUUUUUGUCUCUCUUCCCCCCCCUUCUCACCGUCUCUUCUCCCCUUUGGUUUUCUUUCUUUCUCUCCCCCUCUCUCUCUCAUUCAUUCCCCCUGUCCUAUUUAUUAAAAAAAAAAAAAAAAAAAGGCUUGGAGUCCCAGACACAGGACUUGAAAUCAGGCCGGAGCUUGCUGGAGCAGGAGGUCGCAAAAACCUGACGAAAAAGCUCCAACAGCAGGAGCAAGCCCUGAAGGAGGUAAAGAAGCAAAAGGGUCAAGUUAAGGAGGAGCGGAACAAGGAGAAGAUGCAGGACACUGGAGAAAAGCACUGCCUCAAUUGGGGCCAGAACCAGUAUGGACAGAACUUUGAGCAGCAGCACCAACGGAUGCAAACGGACUGAAAAGGAGGAGGGCAGGACCCCAGGGCACGCUUCAGGCCGUGGUUUACCCAGAACACCAGAACAGGAAAGUGAUGAACACAAACACCCACACAAACACACACAUCCACAUGCACUGACUCAGAAUGAAGUGAAACACACAUAUGCACUCGUUGAUUGAGUGAGAAAUGACACACACACACACGUGCACAAAUCGAAAUGCUGAUUCAAUUCACUGAGAAAUGACACACACAUUCACAAGCUUGUGCAAUGAAGAGUGAUACACACACACACGCUGAUGCAAUGAAGAAUGCUUUCCUAACAAAUGCUGC
ensembl:lncRNA